UGGUAGUCCGGGUGGAAUCUC
rnacentral:siRNA from 1 species